rnacentral:rRNA from 1 species
UACGGAGGGAGCUAGCGUUGUUCGGAAUUACUGGGCGUAAAGCGCGCGUAGGCGGCUUUGUAAGUUAGAGGUGAAAGCCCGGGGCUCAACCCCGGAACUGCCUUUAAGACUGCAUCGCUUGAAUCCGGGAGAGGUGAGUGGAAUUCCGAGUGUGGAGGUGAAAUUCGUAGAUAUUCGGAAGAACACCAGUGGCGAAGGCGACUCACUGGACACAUAUUGACGCUGAGGUGCGAAAGCGUGGGGAGCAAACAGG